rnacentral:rRNA from 1 species
UACGUAGGGGGCAAGCGUUGUCCGGAAUCAUUGGGCGUAAAGCGCGCGUAGGCGGCCCGGUAAGUCCGUUGUGAAAGUCAGAGGCUCAACCUUUGAACGCCGAUGGAUACUGCCGGGCUAGAGUCCGGAAGAGGCGAGUGGAAUUCCUGGUGUAGCGGUGGAAUGCGCAGAUAUCAGGAGGAACACCAAUAGCGAAGGCAGCUCGCUGGGACGGUACUGACGCUAAGGCGCGAAAGCGUGGGGAGCGAACAGG